CCGCUGCACACACAAGUCACAAUGCAUUACGCAAGUUCUUCCUUUUCGUCUUCCUUUAGAACUUCUAGGGUAUUUUUUUAGCCGCUGCCGCCGUUCUUCUUUCGUCGACCAGAGGAAACUUUCUCCGUUCUUCUUUCGUGAACCAGAGGACGCAUGAAAGACUUUUGCCAUUCUUCUUUCGUGAACCAAAGGAAAGACUUUCGCCGUUCUUUUUUCGUGAACCAGAGGACGUAUGAAAGACCAGAAGACCACCGCUUCCAUUUGUUUCGUGCUCAGGAAAGGAAAAUAACCUUGCAGGCCGUAGCUCUAGUACAUGUAAAUAAAAUUUGGUUCGUGUUUAGAUCGCCACCCGCAAGCCGCAGCUCAUUCGAGUCAGUCCUCAUCCGAUUGAAUUAUUGAAAUUUUAGGUACCAUCGGUCUAUCACAAUGAGCUUGAGCAAGAGCAACGAUUCCAAUGAUGAUGUUAUUGUGAUGCCACUACUACCACCACCACCACGAAAAAAACGAAAGUGAGGAGACAGUUUCAAAGCAUAUAAGUGGACGGAAGAGGAAAAAUUCAUCUAUGGUAUGGGAUCACUUUUCUAAAUGUUCUGAAUAUAGUGAUGAUGAUCCGCAUGCUAAAUGUAACUAUUGUGGUAUGGUAUAUGCAUGUCAUUCUAGAAGAAAUGGAAAUUCAACUAUGAGAAUGCAUAUUGAACACUACUGUAAAAAAAAUCCUUAUCAGAUUAAGAAGUCUAAGUUAGAUGUAACACAAACUAAGUUGGUUUUUAAGAACAAUGAGGGUAUUGGAGAUAAUUCAUAAUCACAUUCAUCUCUUAGUUACAAGAUGUUUACUAUUGAGAGUGCUUGGAGACUACUUGCUGAGAUGAUUAUUAUAGAUGAGUUACCAUUUAAAUUCGUGGAGAACCAAGGGUUUAAGAGGUUUGUGAAUGGGAUGCUAACAUUAGUAGAACCAGAAGUUUGUUCUUCCUUCUCCAAAAACAAUUGCUAGGGAUAUUUUGGGAAUUUAUGAUAGCGCGAAAGAGAUGUUGAAGAGCAUUUUUGUGAAAGAAGGAUAUAGAGUGUCACUCACAACCGAUACGUGGUCAUCAAUCCAAAAUAUGAACUAUUUGGUUUUGAUUGCACACUUUAUUGAUAAAGAUUGGAAAUUACAUAAGAGAAUUCUUAAUUUCACCCAAAUUGAGAAUCAUAGAGGGGAGACGAUAGGAAAAGAGGUUGAGAAAUGUCUAAAAUAGUGGGGUAUUGAAAAGGUUAUGACAUUGACAGUUGAUAAUGCUUCGUCAAAUUAUACUGCCAUUGCUUAUUUGAAGAAGCGUUUUACGCAUGGGUUGGUGUUAGAUGGUGAGUUCUUGCAUGUUCGAUGUUGUGCACAUAUAUUGAACUUAAUUGUAUGCGAUGACAUAUGAAGUAACUGUUAGGCUUUCAAGAUCUUUGUAUGUUACUUCAAAUACAGUCUUCCAUGAGAUUAGUAUUAUUCAGAAUUGCAUCAGAAAAUAUUCAAGUGCAACUGGUCUUAAUGAUGUGUUUUUGCAAGAAAUGACAAUGAAAAUGCAAGAAAAGUUUGAUAAGUAUUGGGGAAAAAAAGAUAGAACAAAUUUAUUCUUGUAUGUUGCCUUCGUUUUGGACCCUCGUUAUAAGAUGAAAUUUCUUUUGCAUUGCCUAAAUCAAUUAUUUGAUGUUGAUGUAGCAAAAACCAUAGGAAGUAAGGUAGAGGGUGUUUUGUGAGCAUUGUUCAAUGAAUACAAUUUGUCACUAUCAAUUGCUAAUAAGGGUCAAUCUUCAUGUACCAUUAAAAGUUCUCCAUUUAGAACUUCAAGUGCAAGUGCUUCAGAGAUUUUCCGUUUUGAUUUUGAAGAUUUGGAUGAAGAUGAUUCGCAAAGUGUGGAUUCAGAAGUUGAUAUUUACUUACUGGAGCCCCGUGUUAAACGUGAAGAUAACUUUGAUAUCUUAGAUUGGUAGAAGCGGAAUUCUUCUAGAUACAAGAUUCUUAACAAAAUUGCACGAGAUCUUUUAGCAGUUUCGGUAUCCACAGUUGCUUUUGAGUCCGCAUUCAGCACUAGUGGGAGAGUAAUUGAUCCUUUUCAUACCUCAUUAUCUCCAACCACUGUCGAGGUACUUGUAUGUGCACAAAAUUGGUUACGUUCUGAACAAAUUAGCACUAGUUUACGCCAAUACUUGGAGGAAAUUGAAGUUGAAAAGGAAGUUUUCAUAACGGGAUUGAACGAAGCGGCAAAUGCAAAAAACAAGGAGAAGGAGAAUCAUGAUCGACAAACGAACAAAUUUGUUUGUAUUGAUUGGACUUUUGGAAUUCAGCAUUAGUGUUUUAGCUUGUUAUUUGCUUUUAUGUGACUUGUGUAUUGUGUACUUCUAUUUUGGAGAACUUUUUAGUUUUUAACUUUUUAUUGUAGUAAUUUGGAUUGAUAUGUUUUUAUGAGUUAUUGUGGAUUGAUAUGUUUUUAUGA